GAUGAAGAACGUAGCGAAAUGCGAUACGUAAUGUGAAUUGCAAAUUCAGUGAAUCAUCGAGUCUUUGAACGCACAUUGCGCCCGCUGGUAUCCCGGGGGGCAUGCCUGUCCGAGCGUCAUUGCUGCCCUCAAGCACGGCUUGUGUGUUGGGCCCCGUCCUCCGAUCCCGGGGGACGGGCCCGAAAGGCAGCGGCGGCACCGCGUCCGGUCCUCGAGCGUAUGGGGCUUUGUCACCCGCUCUGUAGGCCCGGCCGGCGCUUGCCGAUCAACCCAAAUUUUUAUCCAGGUUGACCUCGGAUCAGGUAGGGAUACCCGCUGAACUUAAGCAUAUCAAUAAGCGGAGGA
rnacentral:misc_RNA from 1 species